rnacentral:rRNA from 1 species
AGUCGAGCGGUAGAGAGGUGCUUGCUCCUCUUGAGAGCGGCGGACGGGUGAGUAAUGCCUAGGAAUCUGCCUGGUAGUGGGGGAUAACGUUCGGAAACGGACGCUAAUACCGCAUACGUCCUACGGGAGAAAGCAGGGGACCUUCGGGCCUUGCGCUAUCAGAUGAGCCUAGGUCGGAUUAGCUAGUUGGUGGGGUAAUGGCUCACCAAGGCGACGAUCCGUAACUGGUCUGAGAGGAUGAUCAGUCACACUGGAACUGAGACACGGUCCAGACUCCUACGGGAGGCAGCAGUGGGGAAUAUUGGACAAUGGGCGAAAGCCUGAUCCAGCCAUGCCGCGUGUGUGAAGAAGGUCUUCGGAUUGUAAAGCACUUUAAGUUGGGAGGAAGGGCAGUUACCUAAUACGUGAUUGUCUUGACGUUACCGACAGAAUAAGCACCGGCUAACUCUGUGCCAGCAGCCGCGGUAAUACAGAGGGUGCAAGCGUUAAUCGGAAUUACUGGGCGUAAAGCGCGCGUAGGUGGUUUGUUAAGUUGGAUGUGAAAUCCCCGGGCUCAACCUGGGAACUGCAUUCAAAACUGACAGGCUAGAGUAUGGUAGAGGGUGGUGGAAUUUCCUGUGUAGCGGUGAAAUGCGUAGAUAUAGGAAGGAACACCAGUGGCGAAGGCGACCACCUGGACUAAUACUGACACUGAGGUGCGAAAGCGUGGGGAGCAAACAGGAUUAGAUACCCUGGUAGUCCACGCCGUAAACGAUGUCAACUAGCCGUUGGGAGCCUUGAGCUCUUAGUGGCGCAGCUAACGCAUUAAGUUGACCGCCUGGGGAGUACGGCCGCAAGGUUAAAACUCAAAUGAAUUGACGGGGGCCCG